GUUUAGAAGGUUCCUCCUUUGUCUCUGGGCUCCUUUUCUUUUAUUCCCCUAGGACUCUUUGCUGCAAAUGAUUUUAUCUGAAGCUGUGUCUGAACAAAAAUAGACAAAUGGAGAACUGAGGCAAUUAUACUAUUAAUUCAAGCAGAGAAAAAAGCACUUCGCCUGAGUUAUCUGGCAUUUCCUGGCAAAAAUCUUUUUCUAUGUCAAUGAUCUAGAAGAUUGCCUAACUUCUUUUCUUCAGGGGUGUAGAUGUGGCCUAUGUCACAUGGCUCUCAUUGCCUCAUUUCCUGCUGCUUCAGACUGUGUCUAUUCUAGGAAGGCUGACACAUGAUGAGAAGAGUCAGUGGUCCUGAGGUACAGUACUUAAGAUAACCCUGUGAAGGCUGAGAUUGAUAUUUGAAAUUCACAACUGAUCUUGGAGCCUGGUACAGCAGUCAUGGAUUUGUUCAUGUGUGGAUGUGAUGGAACUGAAGUCGCUAGGUUCAUGCUACCUGGAACAUGAGACUGACAAAUAGAGGAGCACUGAGUCAAAUGAAUCUCGGAGAAAUGGAGCUGGAAGAAAACUGGAGAUGACUGAUUCCUUGUGAAGAGUAGAGAGCCAGGAAAAACUGGAGAUUUUGGGCUUAUACAGAAUCCAGAAAUGGAA
rnacentral:lncRNA from 1 species